rnacentral:rRNA from 1 species
UGGGGAAUAUUGGACAAUGGGCGAAAGCCUGAUCCAGCCAUGCCGCGUGUGUGAAGAAGGUCUUCGGAUUGUAAAGCACUUUAAGGUGGGAGGAAGGGCAGUAAGCGAAUACCUUGCUGUUUUGACGUUACCGACAGAAUAAGCACCGGCUAACUCUGUGCCAGCAGCCGCGGUAACACAGAGGGUGCAAGCGUUAAUCGGAAUUACUGGGCGUAAAGCGCGCGUAGGUGGUUCGUUAAGUUGAAUGUGAAAGCCCCGGGCUCAACCUGGGAACUGCAUCCAAAACUGGCGAGCUAGGGUAGGGCAGAGGGUGGUGGAAUUUCCUGUGUAGCGGUGAAAUGCGUGGAUAUAGGGAGGAAAACCAGUGGCGAAGGCGACCACCUGGGCUCAUACUGACACUGAGGUGCGAAAGCGUGGGGAGCAAACAGG